GAUGAACGCUGGCGGCGUGCCUAAUACAUGCAAGUCGAGCGAACAGACGAGGAGCUUGCUCCUCUGACGUUAGCGGCGGACGGGUGAGUAACACGUGGAUAACCUACCUAUAAGACUGGGAUAACUUCGGGAAACCGGAGCUAAUACCGGAUAAUAUAUUGAACCGCAUGGUUCAAUAGUGAAAGACGGUUUUGCUGUCACUUAUAGAUGGAUCCGCGCCGCAUUAGCUAGUUGGUAAGGUAACGGCUUACCAAGGCAACGAUGCGUAGCCGACCUGAGAGGGUGAUCGGCCACACUGGAACUGAGACACGGUCCAGACGCCUACGGGAGGCAGCAGUAGGGAAUAUGCCGCAAUGGGCGAAAGCCUGACGGAGCAACGCCGCGUGAGUGAUGAAGGUCUUCGGAUCGUAAAACUCUGUUAUUAGGGAAGAACAAAUGUGUAAGUAACUAUGCACGUCGUGACGGUACCUAAUCAGAAAGCCACGGCUAACUACGUG
rnacentral:rRNA from 1 species